UUCCGCGAUUUCUGCGACUUCUGCUACUUCUGCGAUUUCUGUGACUCCUGCGAUUUCUGCGACUUACCACCGUAUGAAAAAGUUACAUCUGUCCACACAGAAAAUUGCAUCUCAACAAACCUGUCAUUGGUACGCGAACUACAUUUCAGUCACUCAGUAAAGUGAUAACUCAAAAUAUCAUUGUCAACAGAUCUGGAGAAAUUGCCACUGCGUCUUUAGACCGUUUUCGUCAGACGAGAGACACAGUUCUGACUCUGAUUACUGGUUGCUGUACGUAUCUAUCCACAUCAAGGCUGUUGAGAGACACUCGUGAAGAUUCAAGACAGCUCUUAGAAGAUUUUGCAGUUUAAAAGUGACAUAAUUGUGAAAUAAGUGUGCAGAUGAGUGAUUAAACUGUGUUUUAUUGAAGUUGUUGUGCGAUUUUAAAGGAAUAAUAAAUGUUAAAUACA